GAUGAACGCUGGCGGCGUGCCUAAUACAUGCAAGUCGAGCGAACAGACGAGGAGCUUGCUCCUCUGACGUUAGCGCCGGACGGGUGAGUAACACGUGUAUAACCUACCUAUAAGACUGGGAUAACUACGGGAAACCGGAGCUAAUACCGGAUAAUAUAUUGAACCACAUGGUUCAAUAGUUAAAGACGGUUUUGCUGUCACUUAUAGAUGGAUCCGCGCCGCAUUAGCUAGUUGGUAAGGUAACGGCUUACCAAGGCAACGAUGCGUAGCCGACCUGAGAGGGUGAACGGCCACACUGGAACUGAGACACGGUCCAGACUCCUACGGGAGGCAGCAGUAGGGAAUCUUACGCGAUGGGCGAGAGCUGGAUGGAGCAAAGCGGCGUGAGUGCUGAAGGUCUUCGGAUCGUAAAACUCUGUAAGUAGGAGAGAACAAAUGUGUAAGUAACUAUGCACGUCUUGACGGUACCUAAACAGAAAGCCCCGGCUAACUACGUG
rnacentral:rRNA from 1 species